rnacentral:rRNA from 1 species
UUAGAGUUUGAUCCUGGCUCAGGACGAACGCUGGCGGCGCGCCUAACACAUGCAAGUCGAACGAGCGAGAGAGAGCUUGCUUUCUCGAGCGAGUGGCGAACGGGUGAGUAACGCGUGAGGAACCUGCCUCAAAGAGGGGGACAACAGUUGGAAACGACUGCUAAUACCGCAUAAGCCCACGGCUCGGCAUCGAGCAGAGGGAAAAGGAGCAAUCCGCUUUGAGAUGGCCUCGCGUCCGAUUAGCUAGUUGGUGAGGUAAUGGCCCACCAAGGCAACGAUCGGUAGCCGGACUGAGAGGUUGAACGGCCACAUUGGGACUGAGACACGGCCCAGACUCCUACGGGAGGCAGCAGUGGGGAAUAUUGCACAAUGGGGGAAACCCUGAUGCAGCGACGCCGCGUGGAGGAAGAAGGUCUUCGGAUUGUAAACUCCUGUUGUUGAGGAAGAUAAUGACGGUACUCAACAAGGAAGUGACGGCUAACUACGUGCCAGCAGCCGCGGUAAAACGUAGGUCACAAGCGUUGUCCGGAAUUACUGGGUGUAAAGGGAGCGCAGGCGGGAAGACAAGUUGGAAGUGAAAUCUAUGGGCUCAACCCAUAAACUGCUUUCAAAACUGUUUUUCUUGAGUAGUGCAGAGGUAGGCGGAAUUCCCGGUGUAGCGGUGGAAUGCGUAGAUAUCGGGAGGAACACCAGUGGCGAAGGCGGCCUACUGGGCACCAACUGACGCUGAGGCUCGAAAGCAUGGGUAGCAAACAGGAUUAGAUACCCUGGUAGUCCACACCGUAAACGAUGAUUACUAGGUGUGGGGGGACUGACCCCUUCCGUGCCGCAGUUAACACAAUAAGUAAUCCACCUGGGGAGUACGACCGCAAGGUUGAAACUCAAAGGAAUUGACGGGGGCCCGCACAAGCAGUGGAGUAUGUGGUUUAAUUCGAAGCAACGCGAAGAACCUUACCAGGUCUUGACAUCGUAUGCAUAGUCUAGAGAUAGAUGAAAUCCCUUCGGGGACAUAUAGACAGGUGGUGCAUGGUUGUCGUCAGCUCGUGUCGUGAGAUGUUGGGCUAAGUCCCGCAACGAGCGCAACCCUUAUUGCCAGUUACUACGUUAAGAGGACUCUGGCGAGACUGCCGUUGACAAAACGGAGGAAGGUGGGGAUGACGUCAAAUCAUCAUGCCCUUUAUGACCUGGGCUACACACGUACUACAAUGGCGUUAAACAAAGAGAAGCAAGACCGCGAGGUGGAGCAAAACUCAAAAACAACGUCUCAGUUCAGAUUGCAGGCUGCAACUCGCCUGCAUGAAGUCGGAAUUGCUAGUAAUCGUGGAUCAGCAUGCCACGGUGAAUACGUUCCCGGGCCUUGUACACACCGCCCGUCA